GAGGUUCUGACAAAGGGGCUAUGAUGGAUCCCUGCCACGGAUCCGGCCCGGGUUCAAAUCCCGGCGGACGCACCA
rnacentral:tRNA from 1 species